UACGAAGGAUCCAAGCGUUAUCCGGAUUCAUUGGGUUUAAAGGGUGCGUAGGCGGUUUUUUAAGUCAGUGGUGAAAUCUCUCAGCUUAACUGAGAAACUGCCAUUGAUACUGCAGAACUAGAGUACAGAUGACGUUGGCGGAAUGUGUCAUGUAGCGGUGAAAUGCAUAGAUAUGACACAGAACACCGAUUGCGAAGGCAGCUGACGAAACUGCAACUGACGCUGAUGCACGAAAGUGCGGGGAUCAAACAGG
rnacentral:rRNA from 1 species